AAAAGACUAUCUCUUCCCAUUGAAUUAAAUUGGAACUUUGGAAUCUUAAUAGAAAACCAACUGACUUGGCUUGGUUUUCAGGUGCUGGUUCCAUGGCUCUUCCUGAGCCGAAAAUAAGGAAACUCCAUAGACCUUGUCCACUGGAACUCGUUCCCAUCUACCCUCCACUCUAUCCAGCCCCAUGAGGACAAGGAACAUGAUUGGUUUUGCUCACUGCCGUAUCUUCCGUACCUAGUACGUAACAGGACAUCAAUAAAUAUUAGUUGAAUGGAAGAUUAAAUCAACAAAAUGGGUGAUGGAUCUCUGCAGUAAGUGGAAGAGUUCUUCAUGGCCCCCAAGGUUAUAUCCAUCUAGAACUUCAGCACGUAAUUUCAUCUGGAAAUAGUGCCUUUGCGGAUAUAAGUUAGGUAAAACUGAAGAUGAGAUCAUACUGGAUUAGGAUGGGAUCUAAAUCCAAUGAAAAUGUCUUCAUAAAAAACAGGAAAGAACCCAUAGAAACACAAGGAAGAAGGUCAUGUGAAGAUGGAGGCAGAGAUUGGAGGGAUGCAGCCACCG
ensembl:lncRNA ARLNC1 androgen receptor regulated long noncoding RNA 1